rnacentral:rRNA from 1 species
UACGGGGGUUGCGAGCGUUGUUCGGAAUAACUGGGCGUAAAGCGAGCGCAGGCGGCUCGAUCAGUCUGGAGUGAAAUCCCAGGGCUCAACCCUGGAAGUGCUUUGGAUACUGUCGAGCUUGAGUACGUGAGAGGAAAGUGGAAUUCCAGGUGUAGCGGUGAAAUGCGUAGAUAUCUGGAGGAACAUCUGUGGCGAAAGCGGCUUUCUGGCACGAUACUGACGCUGAGGCUCGAAAGCGUGGGGAGCAAAC